UACGUAGGGUGCAAGCGUUAAUCGGAAUUACUGGGCAUAAAGCGUGCGCAGGCGGUUUUGUAAGUCUGUCGUGAAAUCCCCGGGCUCAACCUGGGAAUUGCGAUGGAGACUGCAAGGCUAGAAUCUGGCAGAGGGGGGUAGAAUUCCACGUGUAGCAGUGAAAUGCGUAGAGAUGUGGAGGAACACCGAUGGCGAAGGCAGCCCCCUGGGUCAAGAUUGACGCUCAUGCACGAAAGCGUGGGGGAGCAAACAGG
rnacentral:rRNA from 1 species